rnacentral:misc_RNA from 1 species
UGGCGUUCGCGCUUGGUGCGGCGGUGCACGUGGUUUGCGGCCUUCCUCGACUGAUCUUCCGCGGACAGCCGCGUACCUUUUCCCUUGAAACAGGAAAGGAGAACACGCGAAUCGGCACGGAGUGGUGGCUGCGACGGUGCUAUCGUCUCCCGCUUUUCGAUCGCGUUUCCUCGUGAUUGCGUCGCCGACGUGCGUCUAUCUCUGUCUCCCUGUAUUUGUACGACACUCUGCUGCGUGCACUUUCCUUACGUGGUAGUGUCGAUAGCACGUGGGAGGCAGGGCGUCAUGGACAUGCGGCGAGGUAUCGCAGUUGUUCUUCAGAGGCACAGAGUGAGCGGGGGCUUUUCGCGAGCCGCUGAGAUGCAAGCCUUUGCUAGAGAGAGAGGCAGGCAACAGAAAGCGGAGACGGAUUGGGUGCCAACGCUCCUCCUCGCGGGUCAAACACCUCCACCCAUCGCACGCCCAGCUGAGACAGCGACAUUCUUUCUCGCCUCCUUCGAUCCCUUCGUCUUCAGCUACUGCGUGUUCGAUUUCCCGGCCAUUCUGCACCGUGCCGGGGAGCUGGGCGAGCAUGAGCUGCUGGAUUGCCCCGAAUCCAUGCUGAUGUCGCCGAGGAGUUUGCUUCUGCAGCCGACAGCACGCUUGCGAUUUGGCUCUGAGAGACAGCAGCGCUUGGCUGUCGUGCUGCAGAGCCUCCUUCAUGGGCAUGAUGAGUCGGAGCGGUCCCCGGUGCCGUGUGCUCGUGCGCUUGGCGUGCAGUGUCCUCUGCUUGUCCCCUUUCUACGGGGUGUGUGCCUCUGCGUGGAAACACAGCACCCGUUUGCCCCACAAGCGGCCUACGUCUUUGAGGAACUGCUUACCAGCGGCUUUGUCUCCUCGACGCUCUACCUCGACGGCGCCUACGUUGAUCGGAACAGAACUCUAGCACAGCUCGUGCAGCUCGCCGCCAGGGAGUUUGGAAGUGAGAGCGCCCUCUUUACUGGAUUGCUCCUGGACGAAGAACACGCCUCCCCACCAGAGGCUAUGGCUGUCGGUCGCCUCGUGGCCCAGACACUUGCGGCAGCCGAUCGGCGGCGUCUCGACUGGGCACUCAAGGCUCGCGGAGCGGUGCGGCAGAGGCUGGAGCCACAGCAUGGGUGGACGCUUGGUCCUUCCCCUUCUCUCCUUUCCACGGCACACCAAUAGCAUCUGAAAACCGGUCAACUCGAAACAGAGUGGCGCCGGUGUGCCCAACACGGAGAUGCCCGCAUGAGCGUGCUUGCAAGUUGUGUUCCCUUUGGACCGGCCGCCGUCCCGUUUCCUUCUCUCGCACCAUCUGCUUUGUAACUGCUACAUGUCGUUCCGCGCACGCGGGCUCGGGCGUGUGUGCAUGCGUGUGUGUUUCCUUGUCCGCUUUCUUCCUUUUCAUCACUGGCCAGCUCAAGGAGUUGAGCUGCCAUUAUACGUACGCCAUGGUGCCUGGAAACGCCAAAGGGCAACUCAUAGGACAAUGCCGCGCCUCCACUGCAGAGGAACGGGUGUGGAAGCGCCUGUUCUCUUCAGUGGCGCAAUGCUGCGACGGGCGUGUACUUGUGGAGCAGAAGCUGCGCACGUAUGGCGAACAUGUACGUGCGUUUUACCCAUCAUGGCUGUGCGCCUGCACCUUUGAAGACCCGGCAGUGAAGUCUGGAAGGAUAGACGGUUCUUGGUCCAAAGUGUGUGCGACCGCACUGCGCGACCAUUCCUCGAUGGAUGCACCCUCCUCUCGUUUUUGUUUUCUUGCCGCAUCACUCUCUCUGCCACUCCGUUCUCGUCUACGUGCACAUCAAUGCGCUGCGCACAAG